rnacentral:rRNA from 1 species
GACGAACGCUGGCGGCGCGCUUAACACAUGCAAGUCGAGCGAAGGGGCGGAAGGGUGAGUAACACGUGAGUAACCUGCCUUAGACAUUGGGAUAGCCUCGGGAAACCGGGAUUAAUACCAAAUGGUCUAAGAUGGACUCGCGUCCCAUUAGCUAGUUGGUGGGUAACGGCCCACCCAGGCGACGAUGGGUAGCCGGGCAGUGAGGGUGACCGGCGACAUUGGAACUGGGAAACGGGCCAAACUCUACGGGAGGCAGCAGUGGGGAAUAUUGCACUAUGGAGGGAACUAUGAUGCAGCGAGGCCGCGUGAACGAAGAAGGCUUUCGAGUCGUAAAGUUCGUUUAUAUGGGAAGCGUUACCAUAAGAAAAAGCCCCGGCUAACUACGUGCCAGCAGCCGCGGUAAUUC